rnacentral:misc_RNA from 1 species
GAUGAAGAACGCAGCGAAAUGCGAUACGUAAUGUGAAUUGCAGAACUCAGUGAAUCAUCGAAUCUUUGAACGCAUAUUGCGCUCUCUGGUAUUCCGGAGAGCAUGCUUGUUUGAGUAUCAGUAAACACCUCAACUUCCAUAUCUUUUUUGAAAUGGGAGUUGGACUUGAGUGAUCCCAACGCUUUUCCUCACCGAAAAGUGGCGGGUUACUUGAAAUGCAGGUGCAGCUGGACUUUUCUCUGAGCUAUAAGCAUAUCUAUUUAGUCUGCCUAAAAAACAGAUUAUUACCUUUGCUGCAGCUAACAUAAAGGAGAUUAGUUCUUGUGCUGACUGAUGCAGGAUUCACAAAGACGGCUUCGGCCGACUUUGUAAACUCGAUCUCAAAUCAAGUAAGACUACCCGCUGAACUUAAGCAUAUCAAUAAGCGGAGGA